rnacentral:rRNA from 1 species
GCAGCCGCCACGGUAAAACGGAGGGUGCAAGCGUUAAUCGGAAUUACUGGGCGUAAAGCGCACGCAGGCGGUCUGACAAGUCAGAUGUGAAAUCCCCGGGCUUAACCUGGGAACUGCAUUUGAAACUGUCAGGCUGGAGUCUUGUAGAGGGGGGUAGAAUUCCAGGUGUAGCGGUGAAAUGCGUAGAGAUCUGGAGGAAUACCGGUGGCGAAGGCGGCCCCCUGGACAAAGACUGACGCUCAGGUGCGAAAGCGUGGGGAGCAAACAGGAUUAGAUACCCGUGUAGUCCCUGUCUCUUAUAC